GACGGAGGAUGCAAGCGUUAUCCGGAAUGAUUGGGCGUAAAGCGUCCGCAGGUGGCAGUUCAAGUCUGCUGUCAAAGACCGGGGCUUAACUUCGGAAAGGCAGUGGAAACUGAACAGCUAGAGUGCAGUAGGGGUAGAGGGAAUUCCCGGUGUAGCGGUGAAAUGCGUAGAGAUCGGGAAGAACAUCGGUGGCGAAAGCGCUCUGCUGGACUGCAACUGACACUCAGGGACGAAAGCUAGGGGAGCGAAUGGG
rnacentral:rRNA from 1 species